rnacentral:rRNA from 1 species
AAUGGGGGAAACCCUGAUGGAGCAAUACCGCGUGAAGGAUGAAUGUCGAAAGAUUGUAAACUUCUUUUCUGAGGGAAGAAUUCUGACGGUACCUCAGGAAUAAGCACCGGCUAACUCCGUGCCAGCAGCCGCGGUAAUACGGAGGGUGCAAGCGUUAUCCGGAAUAAUUGGGCGUAAAGCGUCCGCAGGCGGUCUGUUAAGUUAGAUAUUAAAUCUUGGAGCCCAACUUCAAGCUGUAUCUAAAACUGCCAGACUAGAGACUUUCAGGGGCAUGCGGAAUUCUGUGUGUAGGGGUAAAAUCCGUAGAUACACAGAGGAACACCAAAAGCGAAGGCAGCAUGCUGGGAAAGAUCUGACGCUCAGGGACGAAAGCGUGGGUAGCGAACGGGAUU